rnacentral:rRNA from 1 species
AGAGUUUGAUUCUGGCUCAGGAUGAACGCUAGCGGCAGGCCUAAUACAUGCAAGUCGAGGGGCAGCAGGGGUAGCAAUACUCGCUGGCGACCGGCGCACGGGUGCGUAACACGUAUGCAACUUUCCUUCAACUGGAAGAUAGCCCGAAGAAAUUCGGAUUAAUAUUCCAUAGUUAUAUGAAAUGGCAUCAUUUAUAUUUAAAGCUCAGGCGGUUGAAGAUGGGCAUGCGUUCGAUUAGCUAGUUGGUGAGGUAAUGGCUCACCAAGGCUACGAUCGAUAGGGGAUCUGAGAGGAUUAACCCCCACACUGGUACUGAGACACGGACCAGACUCCUACGGGAGGCAGCAGUAAGGAAUAUUGGACAAUGGAGGCAACUCUGAUCCAGCCAUGCCGCGUGAAGGAUGAAGGUCCUAUGGAUUGUAAACUUCUUUUGAACGGGAGAAAACCUUCGGUCGUGUACCGAAGCUGAUAGUACCGUUAGAAUAAGGGUCGGCUAACUUCGUGCCAGCAGCCGCGGUAAUACGAAGGACCCGAGCGUUAUCCGGAUUUAUUGGGUUUAAAGGGUGCGUAGGCGGAAUGGUAAGUCAGUGGUGAAAUCUUGUGGCUUAACUGCAAAACUGCCAUUGAUACUGCCAAUCUUGAGUACAUUUGAUGUGGGCGGAAUGUGCCAUGUAGUGGUGAAAUACUUAGAUAUGGCACAGAACACCGAUCGCGAAGGCAGCUCACAAAACUGUUACUGACGCUGAGGCACGAAAGCGUGGGGAUCAAACAGGAUUAGAUACCCUGGUAGUCCACGCCUUAAACUAUGAUUACUUGAUGUGUGCGAUACACAGUACGCGUCUAAGCGAAAGCGUUAAGUAAUCCACCUGGGGAGUACGGUCGCAAGAUUGAAACUCAAAGAAAUUGACGGGGGCCCGCACAAGCGGAGGAGCAUGUGGUUUAAUUCGAUGAUACGCGAGGAACCUUACCUGGGCUUGAAAGUUAGUGAAUGCUGUGGAAACAUGGCAGGCCGCAAGGACACGAAACUAGGUGCUGCAUGGCUGUCGUCAGCUCGUGCCGUGAGGCGUUGGGUUAAGUCCCGCAACGAGCGCAACCCCUAUCUUUAGUUGCCAGCGAGUAAUGUCGGGGACUCUAAAGAAACUGCCCGUGCAGACGGUGAGGAAGGUGGGGAUGACGUCAAGUCAGCACGGCCCUUACGUCCAGGGCUACACACGUGCUACAAUGGCGAGUACAAAGGGCAGCUACAUGGUGACAUGAUGCUAAUCUCUAAAACUCGUCUCAGUUCGGAUUGAAGUCUGCAAUUCGACUUCAUGAAGCUGGAUUCGCUAGUAAUCGAAUAUCAGCAAUGAUUCGGUGAAUACGUUCCCGGGCCUUGUACACACCGCCCGUCAAACAAUGGAAGCUGAGGGUACUUAAAGUCG